UCAUAUGCUUGUCUCAAAGAUUAAGCCAUGCAUGUCUCAGUGCAAGCCGUCUAGUACGGUGAAACCGCGAAAGGCUCAUUAAAUCAGUUAUGGUUCCUUAGAUCGUACCCACGUUACUUGGAUAACUGUGGUAAUUCUAGAGCUAAUACAUGCCGACAGAGUUCCGACCAGCUGCUGGGCUUCGUCCAGCGGUACGGAAGGAACGCUUUUAUUAGAUCAAAACCGGCCAAACGGUCGUCCGCAUUCGUGCGCGACGGCCGUUAGCGGCCCGCGCAAAGACUUGGUGACUCUGAAUAACUUCGAGCUGAUCGCACGGUCUCGUACCGGCGACGUAUCUUUCAAAUGUCUGCCUUAUCAACUGUCGACGGUAGGUUCGACGCCUACCGUGGUGGUAACGGGUAACGGGGAAUCAGGGUUCGAUUCCGGAGAGGGAGCCUGAGAAACGGCUACCACAUCCAAGGAAGGCAGCAGGCGCGCAAAUUACCCACUCCCAGCUCGGGGAGGUAGUGACGAAAAAUAACGAUACGGGACUCAUUCGAGGCCCCGUAAUCGGAAUGAGUACACUUUAAAACCUUGGUCACACGAGGAUCAAUUAGGMAGGCAAG
rnacentral:rRNA from 1 species